rnacentral:rRNA from 1 species
AACGCUGGCGGCGUGCCUAACACAUGCAAGUCGUACGCGAAAGGGAGCAAUCCCUGAGUAGAGUGGCAAACGGGUGAGUAACACGUGGGUGACCUGCCUCAGAGUGGGGGAUAAGUCCCGAAGGGACGCUAAUACCGCAUAACAUCCUGCCUUUGGAAAGGUGGAGAUCAAAGCCGGGGAUCGCAAGACCUGGCGCUUGGAGAGGGGCCCGCGUCUGAUUAGCUAGUUGGUAGGGUAAUGGCCUACCAAGGCAACGAUCAGUAUCCGGCCUGAGAGGGCGGACGGACACACUGGGACUGAGACACGGCCCAGACUCCUACGGGAGGCAGCAGUGGGGAAUUGUUCGCAAUGGGCGCAAGCCUGACGACGCAACGCCGCGUGGAGGAUGAAGAUCUUCGGGUCGUAAACUCCUGUCGAGCGGGAAGAACACUUUCCGGGCGAAUAUCCCGGAAGGCUGACGGUACCGCUAAAGGAAGCCCCGGCUAACUCCGUG